rnacentral:rRNA from 1 species
UCCUGGCUGAGGGUUUAG